GUGCCAGCCGCCGCGGUAAUACGAGGGGUCCUAGCGUUGUUCGGAAUCAUUGGGCGUAAAGGGUGUGUAGGUGGCUAUGUAAGUCAGGUGUGAAAGCCCCGGGCUCAACCCGGGAAGUGCAUCUGAUACUGCGUAGCUUGAGUACCGAAGAGGAUAGUGGAAUUCCAGGUGUAGUGGUGAAAUACGUAGAUAUCUGGAGGAACACCGGUGGCGAAGGCGGCUAUCUGGUCGAGUACUGACACUGAGACACGAAAGCAUGGGGAUCAAACAGGAUUAGAUACCCCCGUAGUCC
rnacentral:rRNA from 1 species